rnacentral:rRNA from 1 species
AGAGCGAACGCUGGCGGCAGGCCUAACACAUGCAAGUCGAGCGCCCCGCAAGGGGAGCGGCAGACGGGAGAGUAACACGUGGGAACGUACCCUUCAGUUCGGAACAACCCAGGGAAACUUGGGCUAAUACCGAAUACGUCCGUAAGGAGAAAGAUUUAUCGCUGAAGGAUCGGCCCGCGUCUGAUUAGCUUGUUGGUGAGGUAACGGCUCACCACGGCGACGAUCAGUAGCUGGUCUGAGAGGAUGAUCAGCCUCACUGGGACUGAGACACGGCCCAGACUCCUACGGGAGGCAGCAGUGGGGAAUAUUGGACAAUGGGCGCAAGCCUGAUCCAGCCAUGCCGCGUGGGUGAUGAAGGCCCUAGGGUUGUAAAGCCCUUUCGGCGGGGAAGAUAAUGACGGUACCCGCAGAAGAAGCCCCGGCUAACUUCGUGCCAGCACCGC